GCGCGAUACAGGGUGACAGCCCCGUACACAAAAGCGCAUGUGCUGUGAGCUCGAUGAGUAGGGCGGGACACGUGGUAUCCUGUCUGAAUAUGGGGGGACCAUCCUCCAAGGCUAAAUACUCCUGACUGACCGAUAGUGAACCAGUACCGUGAGGGAAAGGCGAAAAGAACCCCGGCGAGGGGAGUGAAAAAGAACCUGAAACCGUGUACGUACAAGCAGUGGGAGCCCCACCACCAAAGCAUUCUCUGGUGUUGAAGGCCCUGCAAAGCAGCAUCGCGGUGGCGGAGCGUCGUUUGCGACGCCCAACACACAAAACAAGCGGUGAAUGCUUUGGGGUGGGGUGACUGCGUACCUUUUGUAUAAUGGGUCAGCGACUUAUAUUCUGUAGCAAGGUUAACCGAAUAGGGGAGCCGGAGGGAAACCGAGUCUUAAUUGGGCGUUAAGUUGCAGGGUAUAGACCCGAAACCCGGUGAUCUAGCCAUGGGCAGGUUGAAGGUUGGGUAACACUAACUGGAGGACCGAACCGACUAAUGUUGAAAAAUUAGCGGAUGACCUGUGGCUGGGGGUGAAAGGCCAAUCAAACCGGGA
rnacentral:rRNA from 1 species